AUUGAACGCUGGCGGCAGGCUUAACACAUGCAAGUCGAGCGGGGGAAGGUAGCUUGCUACCGGACCUAGCGGCGGACGGGUGAGUAAUGCUUAGGAAUCUGCCUAUUAGUGGGGGACAACAUCUCGAAAGGGAUGCUAAUACCGCAUACGUCCUACGGGAGAAAGCAGGGGAUCUUCGGACCUUGCGCUAAUAGAUGAGCCUAAGUCGGAUUAGCUAGUUGGGGGGGUAAAGGCCUACCAAGGCGAAGAUCUGUAGCGGGUCUGAGAGGAUGAUCCGCCACACUGGAACUGAGACACAGCCCGGACUCCUACGGGAGGCAGCAGUGGGGAAUAUUGGACAAUGGGGGGAACCCUGAUCCAGCCAUGCCGCGUGUGUGAAGAAGGCCUUAUGGUUGUAAAGCACUUUAAGCGAGGAGGAGGCUACUUUAGUUAAUACCUAGAGAUAGUGGACGUUACUCGCAGAAUAAGCACCGGCUAACUCUGUGCCAGCCGCCGCGGUAA
rnacentral:rRNA from 1 species